rnacentral:rRNA from 1 species
GGGUUGUGAGGUUAAGCGACUAAGCGUACACGGUGGAUGCCCUGGCAGUCAGAGGCGAUGAAGGACGUGCUAAUCUGCGAUAAGCGUCGGUGAGGUGAUAUGAACCGUUAUAACCGGCGAUUUCCGAAUGGGGAAACCCAGUGUGUUUCGACACACUAUCAUUAACUGAAUCCAUAGGUUAAUGAGGCGAACCGGGGGAACUGAAACAUCUAAGUACCCCGAGGAAAAGAAAUCAACCGAGAUUCCCCCAGUAGCGGCGAGCGAACGGGGAGGAGCCCAGAGCCUGAAUCAGUGUGUGUGUUAGUGGAAGCGUCUGGAAAGGCGUGCGAUACAGGGUGACAGCCCCGUACACAAAAAUGCACAUAUUGUGAGCUCGAUGAGUAGGGCGGGACACGUGGUAUCCUGUCUGAAUAUGGGGGGACCAUCCUCCAAGGCUAAAUACUCCUGACUGACCGAUAGUGAACCAGUACCGUGAGGGAAAGGCGAAAAGAACCCCGGCGAGGGGAGUGAAAAAGAACCUGAAACCGUGUACGUACAAGCAGUGGGAGCCUCUUAAUGGGGUGACUGCGUACCUUUUGUAUAAUGGGUCAGCGACUUAUAUUCUGUAGCAAGGUUAACCGAAUAGGGGAGCCGAAGGGAAACCGAGUCUUAACUGGGCGUUAAGUUGCAGGGUAUAGACCCGAAACCCGGUGAUCUAGCCAUGGGCAGGUUGAAGGUUGGGUAACACUAACUGGAGGACCGAACCGACUAAUGUUGAAAAAUUAGCGGAUGACUUGUGGCUGGGGGUGAAAGGCCAAUCAAACCGGGAGAUAGCUGGUUCUCCCCGAAAGCUAUUUA